AGAGAAAGCGAGCAGCGAGCCCUCCUUGGCCAAGAAGGCUUUGCCGUCUUCCGCAUCCGCUUGGAGCGCCUCGGCUUUGUCGAAGUUGCCGCCUCCGGGCAGUGGCUGUGGAGCGAACUUGCGGGCAGCCGCCGCCUCUUGGUGCUGGGGCGACGCAGAGAAGCCGCCGGGCAGAGUGGCCAUGAGCGUGGAGGUGAGCGCCAUGCCCUGCGCCAGGCUGGAGCAGAAGCCGGUGGGCAGGCUGGGGAUCUGGUGGUGAGGGUGCGCGGGCGGCAGAGCGGGCUGCAGCGCUGCCUGGGGCAGCGCGGGAGGCGGUGGCGGCGGUGGCGGCAGCACCACCGGCCGGUAGGGCAUGAACAUGGGGUAGCCGGUGUAGACGAAAUGGCCGGGACUGGGCUGCGGCGGGCUGCCGAUCAGCGAGUCUAUGCUGAAGGCGGUACUACUCCCCAGCGGGCGCUGCAUCAUCAUCAGCGACGGCGGGAACGCUGCGCUCAUAGACGCGUUCGGGAGAAGCCAGGGAGAGACGAAAAGUCCCCGUGUCCCGCCGCCGCCUGGAAGCCCUCCGGACGCUGGGAGUACCACCGGGAACUCCGGGCAGGGGACGAGCGGUGCCCAGAGCGCAGACGCCGCCGCCGCCCCUCAGUUCAGGACCCGCAGCAUACCCGGCCUGCACGGGUGCAGCCACCGAGCGCGAUGAGGCCGUGCGCCCGGGAUGGAGAGGGCGUCGGGGACCUCGCGUUCGCCGGAACCGCUCCCGGCUGCUAGCCCGUCGGAACGCGUGCGCUUCGCGUCUGCAGGUCUCGGCCCAGCUACCAGCAGUACGUGCGUCCGUCCGUCUGUCCGUCCCGCAGUCCGUCGUCUCCCACGGGCGGCUGGGGAGCGCGCGAAGCCGGCGCACUUGUCUCUGGCGGGCGCCGCCAGCACCUUUAAAUCGCGCUCCUCUUUCUCAUUCACAUUUUGCCAGCUGCCCAGCGGAGCUCGUGUCACGUGGGACCGAGCACCAACUCCUAUUUGCUAUUCAGGGGAAGGCGGGGCGAAAUUAGGGCUCCGCCCCCUUCACCCAGGCGGGCCGCAAACGGGCUAUGGGCGCCACGGUUGGAGCGUGCUGGCCUGGGAGCUGGAGCCUUUGCACCGCGCGGAGCAAACUUAAGAGGGACCCUUGCUACCUACCCGACUCAGACCCUAGAGUCCCUGGCAUCCCUGUGGAGGCCUCAUGAGAGGCGGCUUGGAACUGGCACCCGCCACCGAUGGGCCGGGAGUGUUUUACUACAGCAGAACCCUGUGUGAUGCUCACCUUAACCAGGGGCGCUCUGGUUGUGCCAAGGGUCCGGGCAAGGUCUCCGGAUAGCGUUUAAGGUCUUGCCUCUGCAGGUCUGCUCCCAGAGGUGCGCCUGGGCCUGUCAGCUCUUGCUCACACGACACGGAAGCUGAAUGGUUGCUUGCGGCCCGCUGGUGGCAGCGGGGCGGCCGGCGGUGGUCUCCCUCAUUCCUGGUUGGGCCCUCCGUGAGCGAUCCCUGCUCAUUUUUCAUGACAUUCUUAAUCAUCGCACCUAUUUACCCACUUUGCCAGCGUACACCAAAAUAACAGCCACGAUAAUUAUGAUAAUAAAGCGAGUCUUUUAUCUGCUCCAUCUUCAGGGAGGAAUGGGGGGGGGGGUUGCGACGCCUCUGGAUUGUAUAACGUGAGAUUAUCCUGAUGAAAGCUUUAUGAUGUUUGCUCAAAUAAAAGCUGCGUUUUGUAAAUAGGCACUAAUUAAGCACGUUGGCAACGGAGGGAGCUCUCACCCUGGCUCUGCGCAGCGCGAGGACUCCUGGGCACGCGGUUCCCCUUUGCGGACUGCUGGAUGGAGCUGAGUCCCUCAAGAUAUUUCCCCCGUUCUCGACAAUGGUAAAAAGCCGGGAAUUUGGGGGUUAGGAGAUUGGAGGGAUUGCGGCGAAAGGAAAGUAGGCAUUUCUGGUCAUCUUUUCUUGUGUUGAAACAAACUUUCAAAUCUUGUGUUCCUUUUAAAAUGGGAUCCUUUCGUGGCGAAGGCAGAUCCUGCCAAGCGCGUUGGGCUUCCUCGGGUCCCCCUGCCUGUUCUUCAGAUUCCUUGGUCUAGACGUCCUUUCGGAACUGCUGACAGCACCAGGCCAAGGAGCAAAGGAGGGCAUUGUUAUAUAGGUCAUUAAAAAAUCAGUUCACCCGGAGGAGCUCUGGCUGGGGAGUUGGCUCAUGUUGGACGUGUGUUAUGUAUCACAAGCACAUUUAAUUGGGAGAUAAAGAUAAAUCGAUCUUUAUGAAUUUAUCGACCCGAUUCUUUGAAGCUCUUCUUUCUCGGUCUUCCUCUUUCUCCCGCUCUAACCCCAAGGUCCCCCGGGGACGUCUCAAUCCUAGAGAUCUUCUCGGGCCAAGAAUCUUGCCAGAGAGCAACUGCCCACCCAGAGAGGUAAGAGGGGACGAUGAGUCCUUCGCAUCUCUUGGCCAGAAGAAAACUCGCUGGCCCGGCUGCCAGCCGUCCUCCUCCCCCACCAGUGUCCCCUCCCCUCCCCUCCAUCACCCGGACAAAGACAUCUCAAACGCCUUUCCCCUCUCCGGGCCGCAGUAAUAGAUGGUUUCGGCAGCAGGCGGUUUGAAAGGAAUUCAUUAGGGCGCUGCCUGUGUUGCAUCCCUUCACUUCACGCCCAGAACUCGAGAUGGCUUAGGCAGUGUGAGGGGAAAUUAAUUCCCUUUGGGAUACACGGGAAGGAGGUGUCUGUGGGAUACCCAAGCUCUAGUCCCUGUUUGCCCACAAAAGAAGUUAAUCGAAGCCCAAGGCAAAAGGCUGGUUUCUUCAUGAGCAUAAUAAAUACUCCCUCUUAUUAUGAGAUACCUACAGUGACAGUCUUCAAUGCCACUACCUUGUUGUUAUCCCCUCUCCUCAACUUCUAGAAUAACCGCUUCCUUGAUUUACCCAACCGCAGCCAGGGACCUUCGUGCUUGCCUGCAAGAGGACUGGGUGAGCAGUUACUCAUUCACCUGACUCUCCUGCCUUCCAUUUUGCACUUUCACUG
ensembl:processed_transcript D130058E05Rik RIKEN cDNA D130058E05 gene